CAGUAGCCGCGGUAAUACGGAGGGGGCUAGCGUUGUUCGGAAUUACUGGGCGUAAAGCGCACGUAGGCGGCUUGGUAAGUUAGAGGUGAAAGCCCGGAGCUCAACUCCGGAAUUGCCUUUAAGACUGCCGAGCUAGCAGGUGAGAGAGGUAAGUGGAAUUCCGAGUGUAGAGGUGAAAUUCGUAGAUAUUCGGAAGAACACCAGUGGCGAAGGCGGCUUACUGGUCCAUUACUGACGCUGAGGUGCGAAAGCGUGGGGAGCAAACAGGAUUAGAUACCCGGGUAGUCCCUGUCUCUUAUAC
rnacentral:rRNA from 1 species